rnacentral:rRNA from 1 species
GAUGAACGCUAGCGGCAGGCUUAACACAUGCAAGUCGAGGGGCAGCAUGACACGGAGAUUCGUCGAAGUGUUGAUGGCGACCGGCGCAAGGGUGCGUAACGCGUGAGCAACUUGCCCGUUUCUGGGGAAUAACCGGUGGAAACGCCGACUAAUACCCCAUAGUAUAACGAAGAGGCAUCUUUUUGUUAUUAAAGAAUUUCGGAAACGGAUAGGCUCGCGUGACAUUAGCUAGAUGGCGGGGUAACGGCUCACCAUGGCUACGAUGUCUAGGGGUUCUGAGAGGAAGGUCCCCCACACUGGAACUGAGACACGGUCCAGACUCCUACGGGAGGCAGCAGUGAGGAAUAUUGGUCAAUGGUCUGACGACUGAACCAGCCAUGCCGCGUGAAGGUCACGGGCCCCUAUGGGUCUUAAACUUCUUUUGUAAGGGAGCAAUAAGGUGCACGUGUGCAUCGAUGAGAGUACCUUACGAAUAAGCAUCGGCUAACUCCGUG